rnacentral:rRNA from 1 species
GAUGAACGCUGGCGGCGUGCCUAAUACAUGCAAGUCGAGCGAACAGACGAGGAGCUUGCUCCUCUGACGUUAGCGGCGGACGGGUGAGUAACACGUGGAUAACCUACCUUUAAGACUGGGAUAACUUCGGGAAACCGGAGCUAAUACCGGAUAAUAUAUUGAACCGCAUGGUUCAAUAGUGAAAGACGGUUUUGCUGUCACUUAUAGAUGGAUCCGCGCCGCAUUAGCUAGUUGGUAAGGUAACGGCUUACCAAGGCAACGAUGCGUAGCCGACCUGAGAGGGUGAUCGGCCACACUGGAACUGAGACACGGUCCAGACUCCUACGGGAGGCAGCAGUAGGGAAUCUUCCGCAAAGGGCGAAAGCCUGACGGAGCAACGCCGCGUGAGUGAUGAAGGUCUUCGGAUCGUAAAACUCUGUUAUUAGGGAAGAACAAAUGUGUAAGUAACUAUGCACGUCUUGACGGUACCUAAUCAGAAAGCCACGGCUAACUACGUG